GCUUAAGUCAUAAUUCAGAGAUGGCAAGGUAUUACGACCUCUAAAACAAAAAUUUAGUACGUAUAGUAGUAUGAAUGAUUGAUUAUAACUAGGAGCCUUGUAGAAAAAAGGGAUAAACAAAAACCGCAACUCGAAAUCGCAACACUCCGAUCACUAACUCAACGAGCAAAGGAUAAGCUAACGCAAGAUCAUAUAUAUAAAGAGUAUCAAAAACAGGAAUAUCAAGACUCAAAAUCCGGCUGCGAAGGUAACCGGUUCGAGCAUAGCAAUAUAUACAUAUAAUAAAAUAAGGAAAACCCCAAGGAAAACCCAAAGGGACAUAAAUACCGAAAACCUAAUCUCCAAAAUCCCCUCUAGAAGGAGUCAUCACAGUUUGUAUUAUUUAAUGGAGAUAAAAGUAUCUAAACAAGAUAUAUAAAUCAAGAUAGAGUCCCGAGAACAAGAAUCUUCGCUAAUCCAGAAGUCUCCAGCAUGCCUCAAUGAGAAGCCUCGCGUCCUGCAUCUGAAAACCACAAAAUCCGCAUGGGUGAGAACCAGAGGUCCCCAGUACGGUAACAGCUUCCACAUAUAUAAUACAUAAUAAUAGAGGAAAGCCGAAGGCAAUCCUAGAACUUCCUCCAGAAAAUAUCAAAGCUUAUAAACAAGCUAAACCGUAAGCGGCAACUAACUAAAGAUCCUUCAGUCUAACUAAUACUUCCCUUUCUACUUCCUUUAGACCUCCCAACAACCAGCAGGAGUAUAAUAUAGCAAACACAGUUAUAUCAGACAAGAGAUUUACAAAUAGGAACAAAUAAGGCAUUUAGGCAAUUAGCAAGUAAUAUGCAGUCAAAUAGGCAAUCUCAAACAAUUCAUGUAGUAUGCUUAUGAUGCAUGCCUGUCNNN
rnacentral:lncRNA from 1 species